AGAGUUUGAUCAUGGCUCAGGAUGAACGCUGGCGGCAUGCCUAACACAUGCAAGUCGAACGGAAUCUUAUAUGUUCCUCGUUUUGGAAUUAGUUCCAAGUUGAGGACAAUAAGAUUUAGUGGCGGACGGGUGAGUAACACGUUGGUACCUACCCUCUAGUGGGGAAUAACUUCGAGAAAUCGAGGCUAACACCGCAUAAUAUCUACGGAUUAAAGCAUUUAUGCGCUAGAGGAGGGGCCUGCGUCUGAUUAGCUUGUUGGUGAGGUAAAAGCUCACCAAGGCGACGAUCAGUAGCUGGAUCGAGAGGUUGACCAGCCACACUGGGACUGAGAUACGGCCCAGACUCCUACGGGAGGCAGCAGUGAGGAAUCUUCCACAAUGGACGAAAGUCUGAUGGAGCAAUGCCGCGUGCAGGAUGACGGCCUUCGGGUUGUAAACUGCUUUUAUAUGGGAAGAUUAUGACGGUACCAUAUGAAUAAGGACCGGCUAACUACGUG
rnacentral:rRNA from 1 species